AAUAAUUGUUUUUUAAAGCCCUGACAGCAAAUUUAGACCAGAAAAGUAAUGUAUAUUUAAUAUCUUUGUUUUUUUACAGGUUCAACAAACAUCUCUUUUGAAUGCAGGAAUGCAGUUACAAUGCUGUGUUCAGGAUAGUUGACUCAUUGCUACUGCCUCUGCAGACUAUGGAAAGCCCUCUACUUAUGUGCAAGGAGUAGGGAUCCUACCUACACUGAAAGGUUUAAGCUAUGCCAUAGGCAAAAGGAAACCUGGAAACUGUGGGACUGGCAGGGCUCAAUGAACAGCCUAAUCUGGAUUUCAUUCACAAACAGCAGCUCAUACACAGAGAAAGGGGUGGUGUGUUUCACCAAAUCGGAACUGGAGCUGAUUUUGGUCACUGUUCCUGCCUUCUGAAGUAUCAUAUAUCCCCCACGAUCCAUUAGAAGCUAGAGGAAGAAGGCAAGUCCUUAAAACUGUGCCACUGACAUGAAGAAAGACUGGGGAUAAGCUCUUUCAUCUGAUGGUUCCCCCUGCCCAGACCCAAGCCCAGCCAUCUCCCUCCAUCACUUCUUGGAAACUCGUCUCCUGCUGACAGAUCCUCUGAAUACACCAAAAGGCAGGUAAAUUAAAUGGACUGAAAAUAGACAAGUGUCUGAACGCUAACUCCCAAGACUGAAUUGUCUCCCCAACCCAAUCCCUUAUCCAUCCUCUUCUAAGUCCUCCACACCAGCUGGAGUCAUGCUGGAGAGAAGUAAUGCUCUCCCCAAAAAGGAUUCCUUCGUUCAGGCUUUGACAGACAGCCCUGUGCCUGCCUCCUGAGGGCUUUAUCUCUUACUAUGGCAUCUGCAGCUGGCCAAGCACAGGCCUUUGGCAGAGGCAGGCUCUUCGGGGCUGCAGAGCAGUUUGGCAGUGCCUCGGGGAGCACUGAAGGUUGUCAGAUGGCUGGGGGAGGCUCUUGCAGCUUUAGCUGCUCACAGGUCUCUCUCUCAGUUCUCUGCCAGGAUGAUUCUAUGCCAGGAGGGCCUGGAACAGCUCAGGGCUGAGAAGGCAACAUGGGGCUUCAUAUGACAGAAGUAUCAUCUCCUCAGAUGUUCUCAUCUGCACUUCUUAAAAGGUGCAGUGCGGAGUUUCUCCCUAACUCUGCUUGUCUUUGAAGACUCAUAUACAUUGUUGUUUAUUUGAGAGCUGAUUUACUUUGACCAGAACAGGGAAGAAAGCAAAAUUUUC